rnacentral:rRNA from 1 species
UACGAAGGGGGCUAGCGUUGCUCGGAAUCACUGGGCGUAAAGCGCACGUAGGCGGCUUUCUAAGUCAGAGGUGAAAGCCUGGAGCUCAACUCCAGAACUGCCUUUGAUACUGAAGAUCUCGAGUUCGGGAGAGGUAAGUGGAACUGCGAGUGUAGAGGUGAAAUUCGUAGAUAUUCGCAAGAACACCAGUGGCGAAGGCGGCUUACUGGUCCGGUUCUGACGCUGAGGCGCGAAAGCGUGGGGAGCAAACAGG